UGAUGCAGAAGACAACAUAAAGACUGAUGAUCUCAAGAGGAUGGUGAAGAUAUCGCAAUGACUCACAUGGACUAUUUUUGUCAUGGUUGCUUUGUUUGUCACAUUUGCUUUUGUUUUGAAGCGGACCACGCUAAGGAAUAAAAAAGUGGAGACGUGGAGAUAUGAUUAGAACGGGUUGGAGAUUGUGAAAGAGACACAUCCCACGUUCACGUUCACGAGAAAGUUAAAAGAAAAUUAAAUGAUGUUUCAUAGAAGAGACGAUGACGAGACAGGACUGACAUCAGGACAAGAAAGAAAAGUUGAAAAUUAAGAACAGAGAGUAGCCAAGGACGGAAGGAUCCACCCGUGCGCAUUCUUGUCUAGGAAGCUGACCUCGGCGGAGAGGAACUACGACGUAGGAGAUCGAGAACUGCUGGCGGUCAAGACUGCGUUGGAGGAGUGGCGGCACUGGCUGGAGGGCUCGCAAGUCCCAUUCGUGGUCUUCACUGACCACAAUAACCUAGAGUACCUGAAGACCGCAAUGCCCUGUUCUUCACCCGCUUCCACUUUACUCUGUCCUUCCGUCCAGGCUCCAAGAACGGCAAGCCGGACGCACUCUCACGGAGCUACGAUCCUGAUCUGCCAGAGGUGUGCUUCGUGUCCGGCUUCACCUGGGCGGACCGGACUUCGAUGCUUUGCAUCUAGGGACCAGAGCACGUGGAGCCAGCACCUCAAAUGGACGGUACGGCGCUGCAAACGGACCUGGGAGGCAGCCCGGAGGACGCUGCUGCACAUGGGCAAUAUCUACAAGUCCGCAGCAGACCGCAAGAGGAGAGCCGCACCAGAAUUCAGGGUGGGGCAGUGAGUGUGGCUCUCCACAAAGGAUCUUCCGCUGCGGAAGGAAUCCCGCAAACUUGCUCCCAGGUUCGUUGGUCCGUUCCCGAUCACCAAAAUCAUUAACCCGGUCGCUGUAUCAUUUAGACUACCCAGGUGGAUGAGGGUGCACCCUACAUUCCACGUUGGAAGACUACGCCCGGAUCGCCUCUGGAGUUGUGCAUUUAGGUCCGCCCUCGAGCCCCUGUCGUGACAUAAGGAAGCUGCAUGGGAAAAAAAAAAAAAACUCAAAUUAUGACAUUGAUACAACUACAAAUCUAGAAUUCAAUACAUUACGAGAAACUCAGCAAAAGAGUCAAAAAACUGAACAGGAUGUAUGGAAAGAAAAACAACUAAAACAUCUAUGUAUGACCAAACAAUAAACCAGUUGCUAACGCAUGUCUCAACAGGAGGGACAAUGGGAGGACAGGUAACAAGGGAAAUAUUAUACUCACAAAAAAACUACAAUUAAAAUAAACAUUCUCCAAAUUGUCCACAUGAACUUAUUUGAAUUAAACCAAAGUGAGAUUUAUUAAAUUAAAAUAAACAUUCUCCAAAUUGUCCACAUGAACUUUAUUGAAUUAAACCAAAGUGAGAUUUAUUAAUCAAAAUGUGUGUUUAUCACACAUUUGCUGCAAUGAAGAGAAAGCUUCUGCUUGCAAAGAACGCUUUGCUCAGCACAUAUGUCGUUAUCGUACAUAUUUGUCAGUUUACAUAUCAUAAUUUUCCAACAACAUGCAGACACAUAGUCACACAAACAUGUUUUUGCUCGCCCCCACCGUUUAGAUUUGUCACCGUUGGUAGGGACCUCCUAAAUCUAAUAAAAAGAGAGAUUUCAAGGAGGAGUGCUUUAGAGCAUUCAAGAAUUGUACCUGACUCUUCUUCGUUCUCUUUGAGCUCAAUUAACAGAAAACAGGUACUCUUUGAGCUCAAUUAACAGAAAACAGGUAUUCUCUCCUUAUUACUUCAAAUUGAAUUUACCUGACACAAUGUGAAAAAAAGUAUUGCUUGGUCAUUAUAGAUGCAUUUUCAAAAUGGGUAGAACUCUUUCCAACAGAGCAUCCCGACUUAUUGACAUCAGCAGGAUAUCACAUUGGUGGAACCAGGAGAAUGGAUCCUGGUGUGGAGCAAUAAGAAGCACUGGUAUUUUCCUAAGUGGGAAUGUCCAUUUCAGGUUUUGUUGAACACUCACAGCUAUAAAAAUUCGGUUGACUUGGAUUCAUUUGGCACAUUCCAGAAAGGUAAUUUCAGUCUAGGAUCCGAUUGGGGAGGUGAGCUAAAGACUGGUUAACAAGCUGGGUGGAGAUUUAUAGUAUCUCAAAAUAGCUGACGGCCAGUGAAGAAAUUUAAAGACACUGAACCUAUAGGGAUACCUAGAUGAAAUACCUACCCGAAAGUGGUUAGGUCCUGAAAUGGGAUGCUGUGGAGUGGUCGUAACCAUCAUAACAUUCUUCCUGUUUUUGAGAUAUCUGUGGGGUGUCGUAAUGUUGUCAUGCCAUGCAUGAAAAACCUACGGCAAUCCAAAACCUAAAUGACCCACAAUUGGGUUCUCAUGCGUGCGAUGAUGAUCCAAAAUGUAUAUUAUAAUAAUCCCAUGGUCAAGUCUAACAGAUAGGGGAACAAGGAGCAGUGUUUAGUCAAAUAAAAUGGUAUAUGAUGAAUAAUCUGAAUGCACACGAAUUGGCGCACUUUGGUGACGGAUGAAAAUAAUGAAGGAGCAAACCCUUGUGGGGGCUUUUUCCUCUGGGUCUACAUCUCCGGUAAUCCACGCUUCAUUUUGAUGCUUUGUGAAAAGUACAGAGGUAACAGCUAGCACCCUUUCUCCUAGAGCAACAUUAGAAAAUGUUAGGGUGAUCCAAAAGCUAAAGGUUGAUGAGUGGUUUCAUGUAAUAACAGUCAUUUUGGGACAAAAUAAUAAUAGUUUUCUUAUGGUGGAACAAGCAGCAACAGCUUUAUCAAAAGAUUGCGUCCUUUGCAUGGGUCCCAGAUCACUUUUAUAGAUUAUACCAGCGCUAUUACCAGAUAAUUGCACCUUGGAAAUUAUGAGUAAAACAGUACCUGAUAAUGAAUGCAAAAAUUGGGAUUCUGUAUAUCCAUUGACUUUUUUUGAAAAAUGAAAAACAUUGUUUUUUGAUUCUCACCAGGUAUUUCACUUGCGCCCAUUUGCUAGGAACCAGAAACAAAUUGGGAAAUUUAUCAGCAAUGAUGUGUAAAAUCAUUUUGGUGAUUGAGAAUUCAUUGAAGCCAUUGUCACAUAGUGACAUCUGGUAGUGGUAAGGAGAUAACAGGCUUUUUAAUAAAUUGCCCAAGAAUGUAACAUUAUUGUACUUUAUAAUCAUCCUAUAUCUGUUAUUGAAUCAACUUCUACUGUACAGGCAAUUUCAUUUGAACAAUGGCAGAGAAGAGAGCAGCUGAAUGCCAAGGAUAAAACGAUCCAACAUCUGCGCAUUGGUGUUCCUGUGGUGUUCAGAGUAUUAAUUGGCUGACUAAGUGGCAAAUGGAAUUGAAUCUUUCGUGUGUUGGUGGUGUGCAACCAACAAGAACGUGGAGAGAAAAAAGUACAUCCACCACAAUGUCAAAAUUGGGAAAUUGGACUCAAAAGUGUUUUUUGAGGCUGUGCAUUAACAACUUGGAGCCCCUUAAUGCCAUUUCAAAACCAAACAGCCAUGGACAUGCGCCGAGCUGAAAAAGGUGGUGUCGGCGCUCUCUUUAGGGAGCGAUCCAUCUUCAUCCUGAACCGUAUGGCUGCUGAUGGUGGUCUGACCGAGGCUAUAAAAGGCCUUAGGGUCCUUGACGGUAAGGUGAAUGAGCACUCUGGUGUUGACACCUCCGUGUCGGACAAAUGGAUGAGUGUGUUCGGCAAAUAAAAAGCAUUGGUCUCAUCUAUUUCAAUUCCAUUGCGGUUUUUGCAGCUAUUUUGACUUUGUGUGGUUGUUGCGGAAACUGAAUUAUUGCCACAGCAUUCUCACCCAUGGAGAACAAAAUGACGUAGAUGCAUCCUUUGCUGGGGACAAAUCAUGAGGGAGUAUUCUGGCUGACUUGCCUGAUCUGUUUCCAGAUCCCAGCUGUUAUAACGAUGUAUAAACAACCAUUUUUCCUCUGAGUGUAUCAAAGUAGUCGAAGAUCUGGCAAAGUGUCUAUUUUGGGUGAUGUGAGGAUUUAAGCAAAUUUUUGAUAAACAGGAAGAAAAUGUUGGAUUAAUUGGAUAUAAAGUUAUCUCAUAUUUGCUUUCUUGGGUUUUUAAUGCUUAUGUGAUGCAAUGCAAUCGAGAGGCACAUUGGGUGCCAUGGAAUCUUUGCUAUGAUGUACUUUAACAAUGUGAUGCAAUCAAUUUACAUUGGGUGCCGUGGAAACACCAGACAGUGAAUCAGAAGACAAGAAAGACUGACGAUAUCCAGAGGAUGGUGAAGACAUCGCAAAGACUCACAUGGAUUAAUUUUGUCACGGUUGCUUUGUCACAAUUCGCUUUGUGUGAUGCAGACCACGCUAAGGAAUAAAAAAGUGGAGACGUGGAGAUGUGAUUAGAACGGG